CCUACGGGUGGCAGCAGUGGGGGAUAUUGGACAAUGGGGGGAACCCUGAUCCAGCCAUGCCGCGUGUGUGAAGAAGGCCCUCGGGUUGUAAAGCACUUUCAGUGAGGAAGAACGCCUGGUGGUUAAUACCCAUCAGGAAAGACAUCACUCACAGAAGAAGCACCGGCUAACUCCGUGCCAGCAGCCGCGGUAAUACGGAGGGUGCGAGCGUUAAUCGGAAUUACUGGGCGUAAAGCGCGCGUAGGUGGCUUGAUAAGCCGGUUGUGAAAGCCCCGGGCUCAACCUGGGAACGGCAUCCGGAACUGUCAAGCUAGAGUGCAGGAGAGGAAGGUAGAAUUCCCGGUGUAGCGGUGAAAUGCGUAGAGAUCGGGAGGAAUACCAGUGGCGAAGGCGGCCUUCUGGACUGACACUGACACUGAGGUGCGAAAGCGUGGGUAGCAAACAGGAUUAGAUACCCUGGUAGUC
rnacentral:rRNA from 1 species